rnacentral:rRNA from 1 species
UGGGGAAUAUUGCACAAUGGAGGGAACUCUGAUGCAGCGACGCCGCGUGAGUGAUGAAGGAAUUCGUUUCGUAAAACUCCGUUCUAUGGGAAGAAAAGGACUGUACCAUAGGAGAAAGCUCCGGCUAAAUACGUGCCAGCAGCCGCGGUAAUACGUAUGGAGCGAGCGUUGUCCGGAAUUAUUGGGCGUAAAGGGUGCGCAGGCGGCUUUACAAGUUGGAUGUGAAAUAUUGUGGCUCAACCACAAACGCGCAUCCAAAACUGCAAAGCUUGAGUUAAGGAGAGGUAAGUGGAAUUCCUGGUGUAGCGGUGGAAUGCGUAGAUAUCAGGAGGAAUACCGGUGGCGAAGGCGACUUACUGGACUUAAACUGACGCUCAGGCACGAAAGCGUGGGGAGCAAACAGG